rnacentral:piRNA from 1 species
CAUUAGGAUAAGAAACCAGCUAUGGCCA